rnacentral:lncRNA from 10 species
GGGCUGAGCGUGUUUACAUCCGCCGGGUGCGCGGCUUCGCCGCCCGAGGUCGUUCGGCUCGGGUACCAUCCUCCGCGCCAUGGACACCAGCGACCUGUUCGCCAGCUGCAGGAAGGGGGAUGUGGGCCGAGUGCGACCAUGAACCCGUCCUGACCCAGGCUCUGACCUCCUUCCUGCCCAGGUACCUGCUGGAGCAGCGAGACGUGGAGGUACUAUGCCUGCUUGUGUGGGCACGAGGAGCUGGUACUCUACCUUCUGGCCAAUGGAGCCCGCUGCGAGGCCAACACCUUCGAUGGUGAGCGCUGCCUCUAUGGGGCACUGAGUGACCCCAUCCGCCGGGCUCUACGCGAUUACAAGCAGGUCACGGCUUCCUGCAGGAGGCGGGAUUACUAUGACGACUUCUUGCAGCGGCUUCUAGAGCAGGGCAUCCACAGUGACGUGGUCUUUGUAGUACACGGGAAGCCAUUCCGGGUGCAUCGCUGCGUCCUGGGUGCACGUAGUGCCUACUUUGCCAACAUGCUGGACACCAAAUGGAAGGGCAAGAGUGUCGUGGUUCUCAGGCACCCACUGAUCAACCCCGUGGCCUUUGGGGCCCUGCUGCAGUACCUGUACACAGGUGACCCCCUGGGUCCAGGGUAGGAGGAGAGGGAGUGGGCCGUCCUUCUGGACAGCAGUACACCUAGGUGUGGCUGGGCUGACCUUUCACCUCUAGACACUUCAUGGUCCCCCCGGGGUGGUUCCAGCUGCCUCUCGGGUUGGGUUGCAAGAGAGAGGACUAGUGUGCCUGCUCAGGAAGAGCUUGUCCCACCCACAUGCUGAGGCCCUCCCAUCUGUUCCCUGGGGCCUGUAGAACAGCUUUUGAUGGGGAAACCAUGGUGGCAAGUGGGCCCAGGAGUCCUAGUCCUGCAGCCAGGUGGCCAGGUGGGAGGGGAUCACCCUUUUUCUGUGGGCCUGAUGACAGCUGAGGUCCCGCAGGCCCUCAUCCUCCCCACUGCCCCCAGGCCGCCUGGACAUUGGCGUAGAGCAUGUGAGUGACUGUGAGCGCCUGGCCAAGCAAUGCCAGCUGUGGGACCUGCUCAGCGACCUGGAGGCCAAGUGCGAGAAGGUG